rnacentral:rRNA from 1 species
UACGUAGGGGGCAAGCGUUAUCCGGAUUUACUGGGUGUAAAGGGAGCGUAGGCGGUUCGAUAAGUCUGAUGUGAAAGCCCGGGGCUCAACCCCGGGACUGCAUUGGAAACUGUCAAACUAGAGUGUGGGAGAGGUAAGUGGAAUUCCUAGUGUAGCGGUGAAAUGCGUAGAUAUUAGGAGGAACACCAGUGGCGAAGGCGGCUUACUGGACCAUAACUGACGCUGAGGCUCGAAAGCGUGGGGAGCAAACAGG